UCAACUGCUGGAAUCAAACCGGUAUGUUGCGGUUACAUAGUACAGUAUUGUGUCUAAACCACCAGGACGCUCCAUACCAUUUUUUUUUAAACAUUGGCCUCACUGAUUUGCAUGUUGUCAGACAGUUUUCCUUGAAAAUCCAGAAUCACUAAUCCACAUUCUCAACAGUACAAAGAAAAUCAAAAGCCACAAAAGUAAGAUGCCUGUAACAUGCUGUAACACUUAUAUCGCCUACAGGACUCAUCAUCCACUCAAAUGAAUGAUUUCAUUGUUAAUCUGCACGAAACUAACACAGCUAAAUAGUUCGGAUAUGAAGGCAUUUAAUGAGAAUAAGUCGUCAACCCCAGGCUAAAGUUUUCUCGUGUCUAGUAACAAACCAGAGUGACACAGCAGAGGCCACCCGCUUGACAAGGAAAUUAAUAGCAGAGGAGUGGCUCUCGCUGAGUGUCACCAUGCCUCAUAAGCCCGCAUAAUCCUCCCCACUGCCAUUUGGUGGCACAACACUUGGGCUGGGUGAAGAGGCCAUCCUCAUUUUUUAUCGGCCAAUUAGCUCAGAAGAGGGGGACUAAUUAGCGGGGCUAGCUGGGAGACAGGCCAGGAUCCUGUGGUUGGACGGCACUCGUCGUCAGAAUAUGCUGCAGAUGAAGAGGCCUGGGUGCUGUUCCAGAGGGCUGCUGCUGUCUUAAUCCUAUGCUAAGCAGUCCAUGUAAAGUUUUGUUCACUGCAGGGAAAAGGUGAAUCCUGAAUUCUCAGUCUAUGUCUAUUUUGCAGCACUUCUAGUAACCUGAUAUUUUCUCCUUAGUAUCUUAAAACAAGAAUCACCCUGAUGGAAAAGCCACACAGCUGACAAACUUACCACCACUGCAUCUCUUCUGAGAGAUCUUGCUUUUGUUUAUGCCUGGGGGACCUUGCCCUUAAUUGCUUGCAACUCCAAUGCGAAUAAUAUCUGGUUGCUAAGUGACACUUGAAACCAGGAUUGUGUUAACCAAAGAAAAUGGUGUAAUCUGAAAAGAGUUGUCUUGAAAAAUGCUUGUGUCUUUUUUAAUGUAUUGUGGGUUGUUCACAUCAUUAAGCAUUUCUCUUGAUUGCAGGUGAGAAGGAUAGACACAGUAGCACUUCAGCAGACACUGCAGUGUUAACUGCUGCACCAUCAAAGGCACCAUAUACCCCCAGUUUAUCCCCUCCAUAUCCCAACUGUUUUGGAACAUUUUGGAGCUGUGUGGUCUCUGCAUGACAGUGGACUCUAGCAGGAGAUAUGAGAAGAUGAGAAAUUCUGCCCAGCUGCGAAACCUUAAAAGCUGGCCCAAACCAAGAUUGUUAUGUUGGGUUUGAAAUAGAGAAGAGCCGCCUCAUGCUGCAGAUCUCCCCUUCUGCCCAAAUUAAAUCCUGGUGUCAGCAUGGCCAUGUUCAGGAAAUUGCCCCACUGGUGAAAGAAGGAAUAUACAGGAAGUGACAAAUUUUACAUACAGGGGACACUGUCCAUUGAGAGAAACUGUCACAAGUACUUACUUACUUGUUUAAGUUAAAGUUUAAAUGAAAAAAGACUUAGUAUUGCCCCAGUUUGAUCCUCUCAUGCAUUUGAGUCACAGAGCUAAGCAUCUGAUUUCUGAAAAAUAAAUACUCAGCAAACUUUGAAAAACCCAGAAGGUUGUUAACCAGCACUUUUUAAAAGCAUAGCUGUAACAGUAUUUCUGGAUUCCUUAAAGACUCUUCUAACCAUUUGGAUGAAGAAACAUACCCUCUCUGUUGUACAAUAAAAAAGAUUUUUAACCUAAGCUGUAUUCCUAUUCCAAACAGAGAUGGUGGACUGGACUUGACACAAUUUCUUGUGCAACUUGUACAACAGGAAAUAUAAAUAUAGAAAAUGUAUGAUAAGUAUGUUUCUUUACAACUGUAUAUGUUUUAUACAUGCUUGUGUUUUGCAAGAAGAGCAAGGACAUAUGCCAUUUUAUGAGGAUUCUGGAUAUACCUUCGUAACAGGUAUAUAUAAUUGAAUAUCAGCUUAGCUCUAUAACUCAGAUGUAAUGGUAAUAAAUGAGCAGCAUCGAAUUGGAUACAAUGGGAAAACAAUAUUCCUUUAUCAUAUGAUACAACCAUCCAAAAAGUCUUGUUUCUGACCCUCAUGUGAACUCAAGAGGGGCAAACAUAUUCCCUUUCUUUCACAUUUUGGAUCCUGGUUUUCAUUGUAGUUUUAUCUGUCAUUGUCAUGUCAUUAUUGAUAAGGUAGUUUCGGAACGUGGACAAAAAUAAAUGGUCUAAAAGAUA